GAUGAACGCUGGCGGCGUGCCUAACACAUGCAAGUCGAGCGAAAGGACGAGUAGCUUGCUUCUCUGAUGUUAGCGGCGGACGGGAUAGUAACACGUGGAUAACCUCCCUAUAAGACUGGGAUAACUACGGUAAACCGUAGCUAAUACCGGCUAAUAUUUUGAACAGCAUGGUUCAAAAGUGAAAGACGGCCUUGCUGUCACUUAUAGAUGGAUCCGUGCUGCAUUAGCUAGUUGGUAAGGUAACGGCUUACCAAGGCAACGAUGCAUAGCCGGCCUGAGAGGGUGAUCAGCCACACUGGAACUGAGACACGGUCCAGACUCCUACGGGAGGCAGCAGUAGGGAAUCUUCGGCAAUGGGCGAAAGCCUGACGCAGCAACGCCGCGUGAGUGAUGAAGGUCUUCGGAUCGUAAAACUCUGUUGUAAGGGAAGAACAGCUUUGUAAGUAACUGUGCACAUCUUGACGGUACCGUAUCAGAAAGCCACGGCUAACUACGUG
rnacentral:rRNA from 1 species